rnacentral:misc_RNA from 1 species
AUGCGAUACGUAAUGUGAAUUGCAGAAUUCAGUGAAUCAUCGAAUCUUUGAACGCAUCUUGCGCUCUCUGGUAUUCCGGAGAGCAUGUCUGUUUGAGUGUCAUGAAUUCUUCAACCCAACUGUUUCUUGUAAACAGCUGGUGUUUGGAUUCUGAGCGCUGCUGGCUUCGUGCCUAGCUCGUUCGUAAUACAUCAGCAUCCCUAAUACAAGUCUGGAUUGACUUGGCGUAAUAGACUAUUCGCUAAGGAUUCAAUGUUCUGCAUUGAGCCAACUUAAUUAAGGAAGCUUCUAAUUGAAAAGUCUACCUUUAGAUUAGAUCUCAAAUCAGGCAGGAUUACCCGCUGAACUUAA